GACAGAGGGUGCAAACGUUGCUCGGAAUCACUGGGCGUAAAGGGCGUGUAGGCGGGAAGGAAAGUCAGAUGUGAAAGCCCUGGGCUCAACCCAGGAACUGCAUUUGAAACUCCCUUUCUUGAGUGUCGGAGAGGAAAGCGGAAUUCCUGGUGUAGAGGUGAAAUUCGUAGAUAUCAGGAGGAACACCGGUGGCGAAGGCGGCGUUCUGGACUGCAACUGACACUGAGGAACGAAAGCCAGGGGAGCAAACGGG
rnacentral:rRNA from 1 species